rnacentral:rRNA from 1 species
CCUACGGGAGGCAGCAGUGAGGAAUAUUGGUCAAUGGGCGGGAGCCUGAACCAGCCAAGCCGCGUGAGGGAAGAAGGUACAGCGUAUCGUAAACCUCUUUUGUCAGGGAACAAAGGCGGGGACUAGUCCCCGGAUGAGGGUACCUGAAGAAAAAGCAUCGGCUAACUCCGUGCCAGCAGCCGCGGUAAUACGGAGGAUGCGAGCGUUAUCCGGAUUUAUGGGGUUUAAAGGGUGCGCAGGGGGCCUGUUAAGUCAGCGGUAAAAGCCCGGGGCUCAACCCCGGCGAGCCGUUGAAACUGGCGGGCUGGAGUUGGAGAGAGGUACGCGGAAUGCGCGGUGUAGCGGUGAAAUGCUUAGAUAUCGCGCAGAACCCCGAUUGCGAAGGCAGCGUACCGGCUCCACACUGACGCUGAGGCACGAAAGCGUGGGUAUCGAACAGGAUUAGAUACCCCUGUAGUC